rnacentral:rRNA from 1 species
AAAUUGAAGAGUUUGAUCAUGGCUCAGAUUGAACGCUGGCGGCAGGCCUAACACAUGCAAGUCGAACGGUAACAGGAAGCAGCUUGCUGCUUUGCUGACGAGUGGCGGACGGGUGAGUAAUGUCUGGGAAACUGCCUGAUGGAGGGGGAUAACUACUGGAAACGGUAGCUAAUACCGCAUAACGUCGCAAGACCAAAGAGGGGGACCUUCGGGCCUCUUGCCAUCGGAUGUGCCCAGAUGGGAUUAGCUAGUAGGUGGGGUAACGGCUCACCUAGGCGACGAUCCCUAGCUGGUCUGAGAGGAUGACCAGCCACACUGGAACUGAGACACGGUCCAGACUCCUACGGGAGGCAGCAGUGGGGAAUAUUGCACAAUGGGCGCAAGCCUGAUGCAGCCAUGCCGCGUGUAUGAAGAAGGCCUUCGGGUUGUAAAGUACUUUCAGCGGGGAGGAAG